rnacentral:rRNA from 1 species
AAUGGGCGCAAGCCUGAUCCAGCCAUGCCGCGUGAGUGAUGAAGGCCUUAGGGUUGUAAAGCUCUUUCAGCGAGGAGGAUAAUGACGUUACUCGCAGAAGAAGCCCCGGCUAACUUCGUGCCAGCAGCCGCGGUAAUACGAAGGGGGCUAGCGUUGUUCGGAAUCACUGGGCGUAAAGCGCACGUAGGCGGAUUGGUCAGUUAGGGGUGAAAUCCCAGAGCUCAACUCUGGAACUGCCUUUAAUACUGCCAGUCUUGAGUCCGAGAGAGGUGAGUGGAACUCCGAGUGUAGAGGUGAAAUUCGUAGAUAUUCGGAAGAACACCAGUGGCGAAGGCGGCUCACUGGCUCGGUACUGACGCUGAGGUGCGAAAGCGUGGGGAGCAAACAGGAUU